GACGAACGCUGGCGGCGUGCCUAAUACAUGCAAGUAGAACGCACAGUUUAUACCGUAGCUUGCUACACCAUAGACUGUGAGUUGCGAACGGGUGAGUAACGCGUAGGUAACCUGCCUGGUAGCGGGGGAUAACUAUUGGAAACGAUAGCUAAUACCGCAUAAUAUUGAUUAUUGCAUGAUAAUUGAUUGAAAGAUGCUAUUGCAUCACUACCAGAUGGACCUGCGUUGUAUUAGCUAGUAGGUGAGGUAACGGCUCACCUAGGCGACGAUACAUAGCCGACCUGAGAGGGGGAUAGGCCACACUGGGAGGGAGAGACGGCCCAGAAUCCUACGGGAGGCAGCAGGAGGGAAUCUUCGGCAAUGGACGAAAGGCUGAACGAGCAACGCCGCGGGAGUGAAGAAGGGUGUCGGAUCGUAAAGCUCUGUUGUAAGAGAAGAACGGGUGUGAGAGUGGAAAGUUCACACUGUGACGGUAUCUGACCAGAAAGGGACGGCUAACUACGUG
rnacentral:rRNA from 1 species